CAACUUUCAACAACGGAUCUCUUGGCUCUUGCAUCGAUGAAGAACGCAGCGAAAUGCGAUAAGUAAUGUGAAUUGCAGAAUUCCGUGAAUCAUCAAAUCUUUGAACGCAAAUUGCACUCUUUGGUAUUCCGAAGAGUAUGCUUGCUUGAGGGUUGUUU
rnacentral:rRNA from 1 species